rnacentral:rRNA from 1 species
GCAUAUCAAUAAGCGGAGGAAAAGAAAAUAACAAUGAUUUCCCUAGUAACGGCGAGUGAAGAGGAAAGAGCUCAAAGUUGGAAACUGUUUGGCUUAGCUAAACCGUAUUGUAAACUGUAGAAACAUUUUCCUGGCACGCCGGAUUAAUAAGUCCUUUGGAACAAGGCAUCAUGGAGGGUGAGAAUCCCGUCUUUGAUCCGAGUAGUUGUCUUUUGUGAUAUGUUUUCAAAGAGUCAGGUUGUUUGGGAAUGCAGCCUAAAUUGGGUGGUAAAUCUCACCUAAAGCUAAAUAUUUGCGAGAGACCGAUAGCGAACAAGUACCGUGAGGGAAAGAUGAAAAGAACUUUGAAAAGAGAGUUAAACAGUAUGUGAAAUUGUUAAAAGGGAACCGUUUGGAGCCAGACUGGUUUGACUGUAAUCAACCUAGAAUUCGUUCUGGGUGCACUUGCAGUCUAUACCUGCCAACAACAGUUUGAUUUGGAGGAAAAAAUUAGUAGGAAUGUAGCCUCUCGAGGUGUUAUAGCCUACUAUCAUACUCUGGAUUGGACUGAGGAACGCAGCGAAUGCCUUUAGGCAAGAUUGCUGGGUCUUUCGCUAAUAAAUGUUAGAAUUUCUGCUUCGGGUGGUGCUAAUGUUUAAAGGAGGAACACAUCUAGUAUAUUUUUUAUUCGCUUAGGUUGUUGGCUUAAUGACUCUAAAUGACCCGUCUUGAAACACGGACC